rnacentral:rRNA from 1 species
UACGUAGGGUGCGAGCGUUAAUCGGAAUUACUGGGCGUAAAGCGUGCGCAGGCGGUUCGUUAAGUUCGUUGUGAAAGCCCCGGGCUCAACCUGGGAACUGCAAUGGAAACUGGCGGGCUUGAGUGUGGCAGAGGGGGGUGGAAUUCCGCGUGUAGCAGUGAAAUGCGUAGAGAUGUGGAGGAACACCGAUGGCGAAGGCAGCCUCCUGGGCCAGCACUGACGCUCAUGCACGAAAGCGUGGGGAGCAAACAGG